AUCAUUAAUGUAUUAAUAUAUAGUAUCUACAUCUAAUCCUCAUGUGGACAUGUAUAUAUACUGUCCAGAGAAUGGUUGGUUUUGGUAAACUUCCAAAGUACCAUCAGGAUCCUACAACAAAAGAGUUAGCCAAAAUACUCGAUUGUUGGCCAUCAAUGAAUUAUUAUAUCACGGGUUGUAGAUAUGUUCUUAUGCCAUGAAAAUUCAAUGAAUGUCACGCCCUUUUCGUAAUAGAUUAUGUUAAAAAGCAUGUGACUUUUAUCGAUUUUACACCGACUCAAGAUUGGUGUAAAUACAUGUCAUACAAGAGGUUCGCGGAAGCGAUUAUCAUGGCCUCAAAAAAAUAUAAGAUUGCUUACAACAAGAAACAUUCUGGAUGGGCGGAGGAUAUCUUUAAGUGGGAACAUACAAUUCAGACUGGUGUCCCAAUUGACUUAAGAGGGUUUAAUACCAGCUACCUCGUUCUACAAGCUAUGGCCAUGUGGGGGAAUGACAGACUACUGAAAUUUGUUAGGG